rnacentral:rRNA from 1 species
AUGGCUAACAGGCCGGACGCCCGAGGACCCCUUAGUCCAGGACUCCCUCAAAGACCACCUUCACACAUCCUUGAGAAUGUACCUCCCAUGUACCAUCAUCAUGUUGGAUCUGCACUAGCAAUCAAUCCAUCAGUUUGGGAUAGGCAGAAUAGUUAUGCUAGAGAUUUGAUAGAAGCACCAAGUUUCCUCCGUGGUAGUGUUGGAAACGUAGGAUUUCCUGUUAGCACUCAGCUUCACUCAGUGGGGCUUAAUAACAUAUUUUCUCAAACUGGAGGAAAUCGUAUGGAUCUAGCCAUGUCUCCUGCACAGAUUGGUACCUCAUCUCCUCAGCAGAGGGGUCUGUUCCAUGGAAGGAGUCAUAUGGUUCCCGUUCCAUCAUUUGAUUUUCCUGGUGAGCAGAUGAGGAGCCGAAGACAUGAGUUAGGUGCUAAUGAGUCUGAUAAUAGAAGGAAGUAUUAGCUUGAUGUUGACAGUAUUCUGCGGAGUGAAGACUCCCGGACUACACUGAUGAUAAAGAAUAUUCCAAACAAGUACACCUCAAAGAUGCUUUUAACCGCUAUUGAUAAAAAUCACAAGGGAACUUACAGUUUUAUUUACUUGCCAAUUGACUUCAAGAACAAAUGUAAUGUUGGCUAUGCUUUCAUAAAUAUGACCAAUCCUCAACACAGCGUCCCAUUAUAUCAGAGUUUCAAUGGCAAGAAGUAGGAGAAAUUCAAUAGCGAGAAAGUAGCAUCACUUGCUUAUGCCAGAAUCCAAGGGAAAUCAUCUCUAAUUGGUCAUUUCCAGAACUCGAGUUUGAUGAAUGAGGACAAGCACUGCCGGCCCAUCCUCUUCCAUUCAAAUGGACCUAAUGCAGGGGAUCAGGAACCAUUCCCUAUGGGUCCAAACAUCCGAGCUAGGUCAGGGAGGUCCUGCACUUCCUCUGGUGAAGGAAACCACCAGGACAUCCCAUCGCCUUCAGUGAGUUGUGACACUUCUUCCAACAGAGCUUAAACUUCACUUCCCAACAAGGUCACCAAGUAA